rnacentral:rRNA from 1 species
CCUACGGGAGGCAGCAGUGAGGAAUAUUGGUCAAUGGGCGGGAGCCUGAACCAGCCAAGCCGCGUGAGGGAAGAAGGUACAGCGUAUCGUAAACCUCUUUUGUCAGGGAACAAAGGCGGGGACUAGUCCCCGGAUGAGGGUACCUGAAGAAAAAGCAUCGGCUAACUCCGUGCCAGCAGCCGCGGUAAUACGGAGGAUGCGAGCGUUAUCCGGAUUUAUGGGGUUUAAAGGGUGCGCAGGCGGCCUGUUAAGUCAGCGGUAAAAGCCCGGGGCUCAACCCCGGCGAGCCGUUGAAACUGGCGGGCUGGAGUUGGAGAGAAGUACGCGGACUGCGCGGUGUAGCGGUGACAUGCUUAGAUAUCGCGCAGAACCCCGAUUGCGAAGGCAGCGUACCGGCUCCACACUGACGCUGAGGCACGAAAGCGUGGGUAUCGAACAGGAUUAGAUACCCGAGUAGUC